AACGAACGCUGGCGGCGCGUCUUAAACAUGCAAGUCGAACGGCAGGAAGGGGCUUGCCCCUUCUGAGAGUGGCGGACUGGUGAGUAACACGUGGGUGACAUACCUUUUGGUUGGGGUUAGUUAUUAGAAAUAGUGGGUAAAACCGAAGGUAACCGUACCUGUUAGAGGGGUAGGGGGAAAGGAGCAAAGGCUUGGCUAAAAGAAUGGCUCGCGGCCCAUUAUGCUCGUUGGUGAGGUAACGGCCCACCAAGGCGAUGAUGGGUAUCCGGCCUGAGAGGGUGAACGGACACAUUGGGACUGAGAUACGGCCCAGACUUCUACGGGAGGCAGCAGUUAAGAAUAUUCCGCAAUGGACGAAAGUCUGACGGAGCGACGCCGCGUGGAUGAAGAAUGCCGAAAGGUUGUAAAAUCCUUUUAAGCCUGAUGAAUAAGCACAGUAGGGAAUGAUUGUGCGGUGACCGUAGGGCUUGAAUAAGCACCGGCUAAUUACGUG
rnacentral:rRNA from 1 species